UUGCCAGACUCCUACGGGAGGCAGCAGUGAGGAAUAUUGGUCAAUGGGCGAGAGCCUGAACCAGCCAAGUCGCGUGAGGGAGUACUGCCCUAUGGGUUGUAAACCUCUUUUGUCGGGGAGCAAAAGCCGGACGUGUCCGGCUGUGAGAGUACCCGAAGAAAAAGCAUCGGCUAACUCCGUGCCAGCAGCCGCGGUAAUACGGAGGAUGCGAGCGUUAUCCGGAUUUAUUGGGUUUAAAGGGUGCGCAGGCGGAUUUUUAAGUCAGCGGUCAAAUCGUGGGGCUCAACCCCAUCCAGCCGUUGAAACUGGGGAUCUAGAGUGUGCGAGAGGUAUGCGGAAUGCGUGGUGUAGCGGUGAAAUGCUUAGAGAUCAUACAGAACACCGAUUGCGAAGGCAGCUUACCAAUCUAUAUCUGACGUUGAGGCACGAAAGCGUGGGGAGCAAACAGGAUUAGAUACCCGAGUACU
rnacentral:rRNA from 1 species